AACGAACGCUGGCGGCAGGCUUAACACAUGCAAGUCGAACGCAUCCUUCGGGGUGAGUGGCAGACGGGAGAGUAACGCGUGGGAACGUGCCCUUCAGUUCGGGAUAACCCAGGGAAACUUGGGCUAAUACCGGAUACGUGCGAGAGCCGAAAGAUUUAUCGCUGAAGGAUCGGCCCGCGUCUGAUUAGCUAGUUGGUGGGGUAAUGGCCCACCAAGGCGACGAUCAGUAGCUGGUCUGAGAGGAUGAUCAGCCACAUUGGGACUGAGACACGGCCCAAACUCCUACGGGAGGCAGCAGUGGGGAAUAUUGGACAAUGGGCGCAAGCCUGAUCCAGCCAUGCCGCGUGAGUGAUGAAGGCCUUAGGGUUGUAAAGCUCUUUCGUCCGGGACGAUAAUAACGGUACCGGAAGAAGAAGCCCCGGCUAACUUCGUGCCAGCCGCCGCCGUAAAAC
rnacentral:rRNA from 1 species